rnacentral:rRNA from 1 species
GUACACGCUGUGACUAGCAUAUCAAUAAGCGGAGGAAAAGAAACUAACAAGGAUUCCCCUAGUAACGGCGAGUGAGGCGGGAAGAGCUCAAAUUUGAAAUCUUAAAGGGUUUCCCUUUACGAAUUGUAGUUUAAAGAAGUGUUUUCUGUUGAGGUUUUGGUAAAAGUUCUUUGGAAUAGGACAUCAUAGAGGGUGAGAAUCCCGUAUUUGACCUUUACUUUCAACUUUGUGAUACACUUUCAAAGAGUCGGAUUGUUUGGGAAUGCAGUCCAAAAUGGGUGGUAAAUUUCAUCUAAAGCUAAAUAUUGGCGAGAGACCGAUAGCGAACAAGUACCGUGAGGGAAAGAUGAAAAGAACUUUGAAAAGAGAGUUAAACAGUACGUGAAAUUGUCAAAAGGGAAGCGUUUGACACCAGUGUUGUUUUUCUGAAAAUCAAUUAAAGAACUGUUUAUGCUAAGUUGUUUAGACUUUAUCAGCUAACUGUUUAGUUUUGAGCUUUUCUUUAAUGCACUUUUCAGUUAACAAGUCAACAUCAAUUUCUUUUGCUGUAAAAAAGCUUGAGGAAGGUGGCUUGAGAUUCGUCUUAAGUGUUUAUAGCCUCUUGCCUAUGCAGUCGGAGAGAUUGAGGUCUGCAGCGUAGAUCCUUCGGGGCUAAAUGCAUUUGUGCUAAGUUAUAGCAUUUUAUAGACAACUUGUUGACUAUGAUUUGUCUUGUAGCUUACUCGCUUAUGUUAUUUUACCUACGCUUAGGAUGUUGAUAUGCAUGACUGAUAU